UUUAUAAACUAAAGGAACCUACCAGAAGCAAAUAAAAGAAAUAUGAAAAUGUAAAAAUUAAACUAAAAACAAAAAUAAAAUGAUAUAAAAAUAAAUGGCUAAAUUAAUAAAAAUCGAGUGUUCCUAAUAGUUUAGUCCCCGGCAACGGUGCCAAAAACUUAAUGGUCACUAAACUAACUAUAAAUAAGACUAAGGCAAGC
rnacentral:lncRNA from 1 species